rnacentral:rRNA from 1 species
GACGAACGCUGGCGGCGUGCUUAACACAUGCAAGUCGAACGAAGAGCGAUGGAAGCUUGCUUCUAUCAAUCUUAGUGGCGAACGGGUGAGUAACGCGUAAUCAACCUGCCCUUCAGAGGGGGACAACAGUUGGAAACGACUGCUAAUGCCGCAUACGAUCUGACCUCGGCUUCGAGGAUAGAUGAAAGGUGGCCUCUAUUUAUAAGCUAUCACUGAAGGAGGGGAUUGCGUCUGAUUAGCUAGUUGGAGGGGUAACGGCCCACCAAGGCGAUGAUCAGUAGCCGGUCUGAGAGGAUGAACGGCCACAUUGGGACUGAGACACGGCCCAGACUCCUACGGGAGGCAGCAGUGGGGAAUCUUCCGCAAUGGACGAAAGUCUGACGGAGCAACGCCGCGUGAGUGAUGACGGCCUUCGGGUUGUAAAGCUCUGUUAAUCGGGACGAAAGGCCUUCUUGCGAAUAGUUAGAAGGAUUGACGGUACCGGAAUAGAAAGCCACGGCUAACUACGU